CCUGCAUGAAGUCGGAAUUGCUAGUAAUCGUAGGUCAGCAUACUACGGUGAAUACGUUUCCGGGCCUUGUACACACCGCCCGUCAAACCAUGAGAGUUGGCAACACCCGAACCGUCGGUAGUCUAACCGCAAGGAGGACGCCGCCGAAGGGUGGGGGUUGAUGAUUAGGGUUAAGUCGUAACAAGGUAGC
rnacentral:rRNA from 1 species